rnacentral:rRNA from 1 species
GUAUAACUUAGUGGCAGACGGGUGAGUAAUGUAUAGGAAUCUACCUAGUAGUACGGAAUAAUUGUUGGAAACGGCAACUAAUACCGUAUACGCCCUACGGGGGAAAAAUUUAUUGCUAUUAGAUGAGCCUAUAUUAGAUUAGCUAGUUGGUGGAGUAAUAGCCUACCAAGGCAAUGAUCUAUAGCUGAUCUGAGAGGAUGAUCAGCCACACUGGAACUGAGAUACGGUCCAGACUCCUACGGGAGGCAGCAGUGGGGAAUAUUGGACAAUGGGCGAAAGCCUGAUCCAGCCAUGCCGCAUGAGUGAAGAAGGCCUUUGGGUUGUAAAGCUCUUUUAGCGAGGAAGAUAAUGACGGUACUCACAGAAGAAGUCCUGGCUAACUCCGUGCCAGCAGCCGCGGUAAUACGGAGAGGGCUAGCGUUAUUCGGAAUUAUUGGGCGUAAAGGGCGCGUAGGCUGAUUAAUAAGUUAAAAGUGAAAUCCCGAGGCUUAACCUUGGAAUUGCUUUUAAAACUAUUAAUCUAGAGAUUGAAAGAGGAUAGAGGAAUUCCUGAUGUAGAGGUAAAAUUCGUAAAUAUUAGGAGGAACACCAGUGGCGAAGGCGUCUAUCUGGUUCAAAUCUGACGCUGAAGCGCGAAGGCGUGGGGAGCAAACAGGAUUAGAUACCCUGGUAGUCCACGCUGUAAACGAUGAAUGUUAAAUAUGGGAAGUUUACUUUCUGUAUUACAGCUAACGCGUUAAACAUUCCGCCUGGGGACUACGGUCGCAAGAUUAAAACUCAAAGGAAUUGACGGGGACCCGCACAAGCGGUGGAGCAUGUGGUUUAAUUCGAUGCAACGCGAAAA